GGGGCUGAGUCCGAUGGCUCUUCUUGAUUCACCAGGUUUCGGGCUCUUAUCUGCUCAGGUAGUUCAUUCUUGAGCAUUGAAAUGUUUGCGCGGAGUUAUUUAUGAGAAGCUUUUCAUUUUUAGUUUAUUUUACGAAAUUCUUUAUUUUUAUUUGCUGAACAUUGCAUGGUGUUAGAAAUAGAUUGUCAAUUUAAUUCUCUUUCUUUUCUUUUUUCACUGUGAUGUAUCUUUCAGAAAUCAUAAGUUUCUUUUGAAUAGGUUUGCAUUUGAAAUGAUUUGAGAAUUUGGAUUUGGGUUCAAGGGUCUGUUUGUUUGAGAGAAAAUAUUUUCUGCAUACUCAGAAAAAUUCUUAGCAAAAGAAAAAAUAAGUGAUUCUAAAGGAAAAUGACUUUUUCUUUAUUGGGAGUUAUUUUCUAUUUUCUAAAUUUUUAUAUUGUGUGAGAACACAUGACAUAAACGUGUACAAAUACAACAUUGGAAUCAAAUAACGAUAAAUAUUUUCUUAAAAUUUUUUUUUAUGGAAAACAUUUUCCAUAUAUAAUUUAUUUUCCUCAAAACAAAUGGAGAGCUAAGCAAAAAAAAUUAUGAAAUUUCAACAUGAUACGUACUAUGAUGGUAUGGAGUUGAGUUUGAGUCUUUUCAUCUAAUAUUCACCUUUGAGAGGACUAUCCCAUGGAUUAUUAUCAGGCGUGUCUUGAUUGAAUUCAAAAAAUAUAUCAUUGUUUGAAAAUCGAAUAUUAAUUGUGGAAUGAUAUCAGUUAGUGUUAGUUUAUCCUAGACUUGGAAAAUGGAUAAGUGGUCGGGAUUUCAGGAAUGGUGAGAAACUGUCACCUCGCUAGAGGAUGGAUUGCAAAUCGCAGAACCAAUAAUUGAAGUCCAUGGCUACGUGUCUUUUUGCAAAAGAUUUGACAAUUCCUAUUAAGAAUUUUCGAAAGAAAUUCGAAUCUCCAUUAUUUAUGGACCAUUUUUGUUUAUUGAGGGCUUCAUCAGUCUGAUAAGAUGGGAGCACUUGAUAAUUUUAGUUUGGCAAUCUUCAUAUCCCAGUGCAUCAGUCUUUCAAUGGGCCUUGAUUUAUAGAAUUUCAUUUUUAACCAGGAUGUUAAGGGCUGAUGUAUUUGAGCUUGGAUAAUGAAUUAGAAAAAAUAUAUUAUUGUUAGCAUAAUUCUGAAAACCACCAUCUUCCCUAUGCCUGGUUUAUGCAAAGAUGUGAAUAACUGAUUUUGGAUCAUAGAUGUUAUUUUUACGUUUCGAUGCUACCGAAGGUGCAGUACUGUCUUUUAGCAAUCUUAGUUACAUGAUCUAGACUGUGAUGCAUAAUCGAGUCAUCUUUUUUGCCUCCCUUGAUGAUUGUUACCUCACUCUUCUCAACAUGAUUUUGUUAUCAGCUAUCAGGUGCCUAUACUCCAGUGGAGCAUAAUUGUUUUCCUCAUUAUUCUUGUUUCAGAUCUUUUGUUUGUCAUUAUGUAGGAAGUGUUGUACCCUGUAGCUCCUCUUUUGUUUCAUUUAUAGUUUAAUAUUGCAAUGCUGUGUCUUUCUCAACGUUGGCACGGUCAUAUUUCUUUACUUUAACAGCCUAUCCUACUGAUGCUCAAGCACCAUUUUGUUUUAUAAAGGCAAAUGUUUGCCUUUUCCCUGCAAAAAAAUUUGAACUGAAUGUCCAAAUAUAGUAGAGUCAUGAAAGUAUGAAAGAGUAGCAAGAUAAGCAUCUUGAGAAAUACUUCUUAUAUUGCACUUAGUAUUUGAAUCAGAUGAAGGUUAAGCUCAUACAGAUGUGUUAGGUCUGAGGCUGUUAGCAUUUUAAUGUCUCUGUACAUAGUUGAAAGGCCAUGCUAUUAUAAGUUACUUAUUAUAAUGGGUUAUGAGGUUUGUAGGGACACAUUGGAAUGACUCACC
rnacentral:misc_RNA from 1 species